AACCCUGUUCCUGCUCUGAGCUAUGACAUCUGCAGUAAAGAAACACAAAUUAUGGACUUGCAGCUUUCUACAGGGGCAACAGAUUCCUCACAAGGCUUUGUGUUUCACCCAUGGAUAGUCUGAAGUACAGUUUAAUGAUGUGGGAUUCUACAGGAUAGCUCACCUUGCUACAUCUUACGAAACAUAAACUGAUGAUGACAA